rnacentral:rRNA from 1 species
AGAUAAUGGUUAACAGAGACAAACGGGGGCAUUUGUAUUGCGGCGUGAGAGGUGAAAUUCUUGGACCGCCGCAAGACAAACUACAGCGAAAGCACUUGCCAAGAAUGUCUUCAUUAAUCAAGAACGAAAGUCAGAGGAUCGAAGGCGAUCAGAUACCGCCCUAGUUCUGACCGUAAACGAUGCCAACUCGCGAUCCGCCGGCGGAGCAUUUCGCCCUGGUGGGGAGCGUCCCGGAAACGAAAGUCUUCCGGUUCCGGGGGAAGUAUGGUUGCAAAGCUGAAACUUAAAGGAAUUGACGGAAGGGCACCACCAGGAGUGGAGCCUGCGGCUUAAUUUGACUCAACGCGAGGAACCUCACCCGGCCCGGACACCGUAAGGAUUGACCGAUCGACAGCUCAUUCAUGAUUCGGUGGUUGGUGGUGCAUGGCCGUUCUUAGUUCGUGGAUUUGAUCUGUCUGCUUUAUUGCGAUAACCGAGCGAGACCCACGCCUGCUAACUAGUCCGUGCAUUGCCAUUGUGCACGCCGACUUCUUAGAGGGAUUCGCGGUGUUCAGCCGUUUGAAAGUGGGCAAUAACAGGUCUGUGAUGCCCUUAGAUGUCCGGGGCUGCACGCGGGCUACACUGGCAAAACCAGCGUGCCUGUCCUGCCUCGAAGGAGGUGGGUAAACCCGGCAAAAUUUGCCGUGAUUGGGAUCGGAGAUUGCAAUUAUUUUCCGUGAACGAGGAAUUCCAAGUAAGUGCGAGUCAUCAGCUCGCGUUGAUUACGUCCCUGCCCUUU